AUUGAACGCUGGCGGCAGGCCUAACACAUGCAAGUCGAGCGAGCGGCGGACGGGUGAGUAAUGUCUGGGAAACUGCCUGAUGGAGGGGGAUAACUACUGGAAACGGUAGCUAAUACCGCAUACCAUCAGAUGUGCCCAGAUGGGAUUAGGGAGUAGGUGGGGUAACGGCUCACCUAGGAGACGAUACCUAGCUGGGCUGAGAGGAUGACCAGCCACAUUGGAACUGGUCCACGGUCCAGACUCCGACGGGAGGCAGCAGUGGGGAUUAUUGUACAAGGGGCGAAAGCCUGAUCCAGCCAUGCCGGGUGUGUGAAGAAGGUCUUCGGAUUGUAAAGCACUUUAAGUUGGGAGGCGUUACCAACAGAAUAUGCACCGGCUAACUUCGUGCCAGCAGCCGCGGUAAUAC
rnacentral:rRNA from 1 species